GGACGAGUAGCUCAACUGGAUAGAGCACCUGACUACGGAUCAGGAGGUUGGGGGUUCGACUCCUCUCUCGUUC
rnacentral:tRNA from 1 species